rnacentral:rRNA from 1 species
GAUGAACGCUGGCGGCGUGCCUAAUACAUGCAAGUCGAGCGAACAGACGAGGAGCUUGCUCCUUUGACGUUAGCGGCGGACGGGAGAGUAACACGUGGGUAACCUACCUAUAAGACUGGGAUAACUUCGGGAAACCGGAGCUAAUACCGGAUAAUAUUUCGAACCGCAUGGUUCGAUAGUGAAAGAUGGCUUUGCUAUCACUUAUAGAUGGACCUGCGCCGUAUUAGCUAGUUGGUAAGGUAACGGCUUACCAAGGCAACGAUACGUAGCCGACCUGAGAGGGUGAUCGGCCACACUGGAACUGAGACACGGUCCAGACUCCUACGGGAGGCAGCAGUAGGGAAUCUUCCGCAAUGGGCGAAAGCCUGACGGAGCAACGCCGCGUGAGUGAUGAAGGUCUUCGGAUCGUAAAACUCUGUUAUUAGGGAAGAACAAACGUGUAAGUAACUGUGCACGUCUUGACGGUACCUAAUCAGAAAGCCACGGCUAACUACGUG